rnacentral:rRNA from 1 species
AACGUAGGAGGCUAGCGUUAUCCGGAUUUACUGGGCGUAAAGCGCGUGCAGGCGGUUUCGCAAGUUGGGCGUAAAAUCUCCUGGCUCAACUAGGAGGGGUCGUUCAAUACUGCGAGACUUGAGGGUAGGAGAGGGAAGCGGAAUUCCCGGUGUAGCGGUAAUAUGCGCAGAUAUCGGGAGGAACACCAGUGGCGAAGGCGGCUUCCUGGCCUGCUUCUGACGCUCAGACGCGAAAGCUAGGGUAGCGAAC